GGAUAUUACGCCUGAUUUAUUUAUUGACAAGUCGUACUCAUUUGCAUAUUACUCCUAUUUUUAGCUCACCAAGCCCGCAGGGCCAAGUGAACUUUUCCCAUCACUUAUGAAGUCCGUCGUCGGUUAACUUUUACAAAAAUCUUCUCCUCUGAAACUACUGUGCCAAAUUAAACCAAACUUGGCCACAAUCAUCACUGGGGUAUCUAGUUUAUAAAAUGUGUCCAGUGACCCAGCCAACCAACCAAGAUGGCUGCCAUGUCUAAAAAUAGAACAUAGUGGUAAAAUGCAGCUUUUGGCUUAUAACUCAAAAACCAAAGCAUUAAGAGCAAAUC
rnacentral:lncRNA from 1 species